UAUUGCGCAUGGGCGAAAGCCUGNGCAGCGACGCCGCGUGGGGGAUGAAGGCCUUCGGGUUGUAAACCCCUUUCAGCAGGGACGAAGCGAAAGUGACGGUACCUGCAGAAGAAGCGCCGGCUAACUACGUGCCAGCAGCCGCGGUAACACGUAGGGCGCAAGCGUUGUCCGGAAUUAUUGGGCGUAAAGAGCUCGUAGGCGGUCCGCCACGUCCGCUGUGAAAACCUAGGGCUUAACCCUGGGCUUGCAGUAGAUACNGGGCAGACUAGAGGUAGGUAGGGGAGAAUGGAAUUCCCGGUGUAGCGGUGAAAUGCGCAGAUAUCGGGAGGAACACCGGUGGCGAAGGCGGUUCUCUGGGCCUUACCUGACGCUGAGGAGCGAAAGCGUGGGGAGCAAACAGGAUUAGAUACCCUGGUAGUCCACGCCGUAAACGUUGGGCGCUAGGUGUGGGGUCCUUCCACGGAUUCCGUGCCGCAGCUAACGCAUUAAGCGCCCCGCCUGGGGAGUACGGCCGCAAGGCUAAAACUCAAAGAAAUUGACGGA
rnacentral:rRNA from 1 species